UUUGGAUUGUCGUCGUCGUCGAUAACAUAAACCAUAAAGGUGUAGUAAAAACCUAAAUCACUGCACCUUCAGUGGAGAGACCGCUGGUGAAAGCUGAAUUCAAACUCUGAGUCACCCAAACAAACUUGUGACAGUAACAGACUUGGAAGGGAAAUGUGGACCAUAUAGUUAGUGAGUAAAAGAGCUAGUUCAGCAGUAAUGGAAGAAAAGGAAGUGGAACUUUAAAUGAACUGCUGUCAUGAAUUGGGUCACCUCACCUCUGGUAAACAGAACUCGAAGACCAGACAGAAGAACCACAAUCUGGUCUGACGGACAUAGAAGAGAGAAUCACUGAUGUGUGUGUGUGUGUGUGUAGGAUUGUGUGAGGCAACGGUGAUAUCUGAAUGUUUACCUAUAGAAAGCCAUCCACAAUAAUCACCUGCAUAUCUAACACUCUUUAGUUCGUCCAAGUGAAUGAGAGAAGCCUAUCUAGCGGGGAGUGACCUAACUACAAUAUAUCGACUUGCACACACAGAACCUUGCAAGGUCACAAACACUCACAGACAUGACAGCAGUUGCGUGACUCUCCCUGUCAAAAACAAUUCAGACUUGUGUUGAAAGAAUUUCACUAUGUAACAUUUCGUGCCAGCAAUAGUAGCCCGAGCCAAGAAAUGGACAGAUCUUGAUGGGGCAUUUCGGCCAUCAAGGCCGAUAGCAAUCGUCAAAACAAAAGAGCAGACGAUGAGGACUUGUUGCUGAGCCGCACUAAGAGAUAAGAGUCAAUCAAAUGGAAUAAAUCAGCUGAAAAAUCCUGCUCUUCCGGUUCAGGGCAGUCAAUGGUGUGUUAGAGAAGGCUUAAUAGACAACUCUGCACCUUCUCCGUCAGUCAUAGUCAGCACUGUGACCAUCAGUCUGCCGGCAUCUCUGUAUCGCUACAAUGGAUCAGCAGCUAUCAGUCUGCACUGGGCCACCCAGGGAGAGCAGGCUACACUAUGCAACCUCACUGGAACCAAGAGAGAAUGGAACCAGCAGAGAGGGGAGGAAACUAUCUCUGGAAGAUGGCCACCGAGAGAGAGAAGCUGUGCUGAAAGAACCACGAAGACGAGUGACGCCUAAUUACUUGGUACGCUCACACUAACCAGAAGAAGAAAAAGACUGUUCCUGUCUCCCCUCCUCCCGCUGCUGUUGGCCUUCACAGAUUCCCAAAUUAUGCUCCUGAAGUUGCUGUUAAUAGGCUACACCAGUGAUCAGCAACCUUUUCCAUUUGGAGUGCCAAGUUAUGAUUUUCAUAUGCACUUUUUUGUGGAACAGUCUAAUUUCAUUUAUAAUAAAGUCUAAUAAAGUCUCAUA